GGUUGAUCCUGCCAGUAGUCAUAUGCUUGUCUCAAAGAUUAAGCCAUGCAUGUCUCAGUGUAAACUUAUAAACAGUGAAACUGCGAAUGGCUCAUUAAAACAGUUAUAGUUUAUUUGAUAUUCAUUGCUACAUGGAUAACCGUGGGAAUUCUAGGGCUAAUACAUGCGUAAAUACCUGACUUUUGGAGGGUUGUGUUUAUUAGAUUAAAAGCCAAUACCCAUGCUUGCAUGGAAUAAUUGGAAUGAUAAUAACCGAACGAAUCGCGAUAUGCGAUAAAUCAUUCAAGUUU
rnacentral:rRNA from 1 species